rnacentral:sRNA from 1 species
GAUGAAAAAAACAUCUA